rnacentral:misc_RNA from 1 species
GUCAAGAAACAACUUAUCAGGAAAAAUUCCAGAAGAUCUGGAGAGCCUUUCGGUUUUACAAUAUUUGAAUCUCUCUUUCAACAACUUUGAAGGUGAAGUGCCAAAAAACGGAGUUUUUAGAAAUGCAACGACAUUUUCAGUUGUUGGAAACAGUAAGCUUUGUGGGGGGAUCCCUGAACUGCAGCUGCCACCAUGUCCUAUCCAAAAAAAGAAACAGAAAAAGACUUCCACAAUCAUAAUCCUUGUCACAACCAUCAGUUCAGUUGUGUUCUUCAUGACAAUAACCUGCCUCUGUGUUUUCUAUCGGCGAAAGUCGAGAAGGAAUCCUCCUUCCAUGCCUUUUAUUGCGGAUAAGCUGUUUCAAAUUUCAUACAAGGAACUCUUCCAGGCAACUGCAGGAUUCUCUCAAGAAAACUUAAUUGGACAAGGUAGUUUUGGCUCAGUAUAUAGAGGAAGUUUACUUCAGCAUGGAGACAAGUUAGUUGCGAUAAAGGUUCUCAAUCUUCAACAGCAUGGA